GUAAAAAAAGUUCGAACUUUAACUAAGGUACUAGAAAAAGGUAUAAAAAAAAAAGGAAAUAAGAAUAGACAUAUAAUUGUUCCUGUUCCUGUUCCUGUCCCUGUCCCUGUCCCCCACGUACCCCUGCCAAAAAAAAAGAAAAGAAAAAAACUAUUUAAUAAAAAAGAAAAAAAUAGAAAUCUAAAAAUGAUAACAGAAGCAGACAAUGUAAAAAAAAAAAAUGAAGAUGAACAUAAAAUCGAUCAUAAUGUUGAUCUAUUUGAAAAUUAUACUAAUCAAGAAAAAGGAAAAGAAACAGAAACAGAAACAGAAACAGAAACAGAAAAAGAAAAAGAAAAAGAAAAAGAAAAAGAAAAAGAAAAAGAAAAAGAAACAGAAACAGAAACAGAAAAAGAAAAAGAAAAAGAAACAGAAAAAGAAACAGAAAAAGAAAAAGAAUACAAUUUCAAUAAAAGUAUAAACAUUAAAGAAGAAUUAAAAAGUAUAAAUGUGCAUGAAAAGCCCAAUGAUAACAAUAAAAUCAAUUUAUAUUUAAAUAGCAAUUCGGACCUCUUUUUUAACAACACCUUUACCAAUUUGGGAGCAGACAACUUCGAUGAAUCAAUUAAAUUUUCGACAAAUAAUUGCAAUAAUAUUAUUAAUAUUAUUAAUUUGAAAAAUAUGACGGAGAGUGAAUCCGCCAUAGAUGUAGUUACUGGUCGUUCUACUAAUGGCGAUGAUCAUUUUAUCGAACAUAACGGCAUAAUACAACUUCCCCCUCCAAUCGAUCAUAAGGAAAAUUGCCUGGUAUCCGAUAACAUGAGAAAGCAUUUUUUACAUUUUCAUAACAAUCAAAGUUUAUUAAAAAAAGAUUGUUUAUCGAGUGACACGGUAAAUGAAAAAGACAGAUCUUCUUUACUUAAUAUUAGCCAUAUGAAUAUGUUUUAUCACCGUUUUGUGAAUUCCAUUUUGUGCUUAGGUCAUAAAAAUAAAUGUAUGAAAAUGAAAAAAAAAAAAACGGCAACUGGUUAUAUUACUUAUAUUCGUUUUAUAAAAAAUAAACUAUUCGUAUUGAAUAAGAAUAAAGAAGCCAGGGUGUUAAAAUUGUGCCCCAAAGAGUUGAUUCGUGUUGAUAGUAGUGUUGAUAGUAGUGUUGAUAGUAGUGUUGAUAGCAUAAAUGGUAGCCUAAAGGGUAGCGUGACC
rnacentral:lncRNA from 1 species